GACAUAAUUGGUGCAUCAUGUUUGGGGGACAUAGUCAUAGCAUAUUGGUUUAAAAAGUACUGACAUAUACAAACCACAGACAUGUACAGAUUUACUUUAGUUCAUGUGUAAUAAUGACCAGACACUUGUAUCCUUACGCGUCAUUUCACCUUUCUUGGCACACUUGAACGUUGGGCCAGUAACCGAAAGGUCCCAAGUUCGAAUCCCACGAGCAGACAAGGUUUUGAACAGCGCCACAGAAGGGUGGAGAUUAGAGCCAGAGGAUUGAUUUGAGAUUUGAGUAAGGACCUGAGCCCUAGGACCAUGCCCCAGGACUACCUGACAUGAUGACU